GGCGGACGUUGCUUUUCUAUUGCGGUUCAUGGCUUUGCGGACCUACAUCAACAUCCGAACACGGCGGAUCAAACAUGUUCGCGCGGCUCGCGCUUGUGUUGUUAGCUCGACUAGCUGCUAUCGAAAAAUGGCGGAUCACAAAGUUUCUCUCGUUUCGUUGGUCACGGUAACCCCGCCCCCAGCCGCUGACGUAAGCGGUUCUUACUUCUAGACCAGCAAUGAUAUGAUGCUACUUAAGAACCACUUUUACUGGUUCGGAGCUGGUGCUUUGGUGGUGGAAAACCAAAGAACCGUUGUUGCCCCUUUUCCACCAAGGCAGAACUGGUGCUAGUUCGGAGCCAGAGCCUAGUUUCAAAUCGGUUCUUUGGUUUGGGGUUCGGGUGUAGACGGUGGAGAUAGGACUCAAAAGGAGAUUUUCAAACAAAAAGACUUUAAUAGUCACCAGAUCCAAAAUCUAACUCAAAAAUGCCAAGGGCAAAAACGCAGACAAGGACCAGGAACAAGACACAACCUCCCACAUUCAACAAUUACGUCCAACAAUGACGCGACCAGAGACAAGAGACAGGACAGGACAGGACAAGGGAUCAGCUCUAGGCGUGUCCUUACAGAUUCCUCUCAACAGUUGAAGAGCAGGCAUGUUCGGCAUAUCCUCAAGCAGGAAACCACCUAAAAGCAAUUACAGCUUUGGAAAACAUUAUCAAUUACACCUCAAUUGACGUCACAUCAGUUGGCUGUGUGAUGUGUGUUGCACCAUAUGUGUUGCAUCAUAUGUGGCAUACAGAUGGACACAUGCAGAGGCACACGCAAGGUUACACACACGCAACCCUUCCCUCACACACACACUCAGAGAGAAUGGUCUCCUUGGCUCCCCAGGUACUUUGUGGCUUGAAUGCCUCCAGGCAGAACACAUACUGUCGACCCAGCAACACACUCACACGCACGCACACACACACACACAC
ensembl:lncRNA